CCGAGUUAUACAACUCAUCAACCCUGUGAACAUACCUAAUACGUUGCCUCGGCGGGAAUCAGCCGCUCCGGUAAUAACGGGCCGCCCGCCAGAGGACCCCUAACUCUGUUUAUAUAUGUUAACUUCUGAGUAAACAAGCAAAUAAAUUA
rnacentral:misc_RNA from 1 species